GGGCCUGCACAAGCGGUGGAGUAUGUGGUUUAAUUCGAUGCAACGCGAAGAACCUUACCAGGGUUUGACAUCCUGCGAAUCUCUUGGAAACGAGAGAGUGCCUUCGGGAACGCAGUGACAGGUGGUGCAUGGCUGUCGUCAGCUCGUGUCGUGAGAUGUUGGGUUAAGUCCCGCAACGAGCGCAACCCACGUCGUUAGUUGCCAGCAUUUAGUUGGGCACUCUAGCGAGACCGCCGGUGAUAAACCGGAGGAAGGUGUGGAUGACGUCAAGUCAUCAUGCCCCUUACAUCCUGGGCUACACACGUACUACAAUGCUACGGACAAAGGGCAGCAAACUCGCAAGGACAAGCAAAUCCCAUAAACCGUGGCUCAGUUCAGAUCGUAGGCUGCAACUCGCCUACGUGAAGGCGGAAUC
rnacentral:rRNA from 1 species